AGAUGCAAAAAGGAGACACUAUAUGAUUCAAUUUAAAUGGAAGUCUACCGUAGACGAGUAAUCCAUGGUGAUAAAAAUCAAAUCAGUGAUUACUUUGCAAGAGGAUGUGGAAAUGGCUGGAAAGGGGCAGGAAGGAGUUUCUGGGACUGGAGAAGUAUUCUGUCUUGAUUUGCAUUCAUCAAAACUUAUUGAAGAACACAUUUAAGAUCUGAGCAUCUCACUCAAACCACGUCAGAAAAGAGAUCCAUGGACAUCCCUUGCUACACAGAUGGCUGGCAGCUUCCUAUACCUCGCCCAGGCUGAUCCUGCCUCAGACAAAAUCAUGGAAGCAGAUGAAGAUGAGUCUAUCAGCUGCUUUUGUGCCAGAGGAUACUGAGUCACAGGGUUUGGUUCAGUGUGACGUGCCUGCUGGGCUCAACUGCGGUGAAAACCAGACCUGUAAGAAUCAAGCUGACACUACUCUGUCUCCAGGAAGAAGCUCUGAAGUGCAAACACACACACACACACACACACACACGAACACACACUGUGCAGUUUCCUAAUUGAAUCUAAAAUAACUCAAAGGGCUGAGCCAGCUGCAACUCUCCCAACUGCUGUUUACCACAGACACAGAUGAGGAAUGUCCUUGUUCUCUGAGAAGAGGCUGGCUGAGAGGCAAUCCAUGUGGAGUGGCAACACCGGGGUCAGAUGGCAGGCCAGGCCUGCAGAUAUCAACACACAGCCUCCACCACUGGCUGCCGGUGCAACCCAAGCAGUGGGCAGGGCUCCACCUGCACCCACUGCUGUCCACAGAUCCAUUGGGAAAAAGAAUCAUUUUGAGCCAAUAUCAACGUACUCUUCUGGGAACUUUUACUAUUCAUUCCUUUUGCUAUUUUUAGGGGAAGCAUGCCUGUUAAAAAUAAGUGUUUUCUCUCCAAAAUUCCUCCAUAUUUUCAUAUUAUGAGUGCCCUGUAACAUUUGCAGAGAUAAGCAAGGAGGGAAGGGGGCAAGGAAAAUGCAGCUAUCUUCUUAGAGAUUUUCUGUUUCAAAAGAGCUAAAGCACAUGCAUGGAAGAUUCAUUUGCAUUUCAAUAAACAUUUUCUCUCUGGA
rnacentral:lncRNA from 1 species